AUACUUACCUGGCAGGGGAGAUACCAUGAUCAUGAAGGUAGUUUUCCCAGGGCGAAGCUUAUCCAAUGCAGUCCGGAUGUGCUGACCGCUGUGAUUUCCCCAAAUGUAGGAAACUGAACUGCAUAAUUUGCGGUAGUGGGGUACUGCGUUCACGCUUUCCCCUA
rnacentral:snRNA from 1 species